rnacentral:rRNA from 1 species
CCUACGGGUGGCUGCAGUGGGGAAUAUUGGACAAUGGGCGAAAGCCUGAUCCAGCCAUGCCGCGUGUGUGAAGAAGGCCUUCGGGUUGUAAAGCACUUUCAGUGGGGAAGAAAGCCUUGGGGCUAAUACCCUCGAGGAAGGACAUCACCCACAGAAGAAGCACCGGCUAACUCCGUGCCAGCAGCCGCGGUAAUACGGAGGGUGCGAGCGUUAAUCGGAAUUACUGGGCGUAAAGCGCGCGUAGGCGGUCUGAUAAGCCGGUUGUGAAAGCCCCGGGCUCAACCUGGGAACGGCAUCCGGAACUGUCAGGCUAGAGUGCAGGAGAGGAAGGUAGAAUUCCCGGUGUAGCGGUGAAAUGCGUAGAGAUCGGGAGGAAUACCAGUGGCGAAGGCGGCCUUCUGGACUGACACUGACGCUGAGGUGCGAAAGCGUGGGUAGCAAACAGGAUUAGAUACCCCGGUUAGUC